GAUGAACGCUGGCGGCGUGCCUAAUACAUGCAAGUCGAGCGAACGGACGAGAAGCUUGCUUCUCUGAUGUUAGCGGCGGACGGGUGAGUAACACGUGGAUAACCUACCUAUAAGACUGGGAUAACUUCGGGAAACCGGAGCUAAUACCGGAUAAUAUUUUGAACCGCAUGGUUCAAAAGUGAAAGACGGUCUUGCUGUCACUUAUAGAUGGAUCCGCGCUGCAUUAGCUAGUUGGUAAGGUAACGGCUUACCAAGGCAACGAUGCGUAGCCGACCUGAGAGGGUGAUCAGCCACACUGGAACUGAGACACGGUCCAGACUCCUACGGGAGGCAGCAGUGGGGAAUCUUGCGCAAUGGGCGCAACCCUGACCCAGCCAUGCCGCGUGAGUGAUGAAGGUCUUCGGAUCGUAAAACUCUGUUAUUCGGGAAGAAAACCUGUGUACGAAACCGUCCACAUCAUGACGGUACCUGAUCAGAAAGCCCCGGCUAACUACGUG
rnacentral:rRNA from 1 species